rnacentral:tRNA from 1 species
GCUGGCGUAGCUCAAUGGUAGAGCAGCGGUUUUGUAAACCGCAGGUUGCGGGUUCAAUUCCCAUCGCCAGCUCCA